GCUCACUUGGUGGAAAUGGUAUACACGACAGACUUAAAAUCUGUUCCUUCUGGGAUACCGGUUCAAGUCCGGUAGUGAGCA
rnacentral:tRNA from 1 species